CAUGAUUGGCAUGUAGCUGCCUAGAUGCAACUACUCAACCCAAUAAAUCAGAGCUAGGACAAAAUGUGCUAUAAAAAAAGAAAGAAGACUAUAUAGCCAGCUGGUGAAUUGACAGUUUCCUCCUUUCUAUAAUUCAGGUAAAACUCUGACUCUUAGACACAAAGAAAUUCAAGAACAACAGAAUACUGGUGAUGGGCAAGGAAAUGUUCAUGCAGGUGACACAGAACAAGUGCUUCCAAUUAUCAUAAAUGAGUACAGAAAAGAAAAAAAUCUUUGAGCUGUCAUAUUGGUUCAGAAUACAGACUGCUGAUAUAUCAAGUUUAGACUCAUUUAGAGGUGAGCAAUGUCUAAAUAAAAUUUCUUGAAAGUUGAAAAUUCAAAUAAUCAUUUCAGUGUAACUAUAAAACAUUUUAUAGUUUAGAAAGUGUUUUGCCUUCAUAAUUUUAAUGUAUUAUUAUGAAUCAGCAGGCUGCAGGAAAGGGAUGGAG
rnacentral:lncRNA from 1 species